GGAAGCAAAUCUUUAAUACCUUUGGAUAACUACAGUCCAACAUUUUUAGCUAGAUUGUGAUGACUAGUUGGUAUUGACUGGCGGCCUCAUUGGCAGAUUAUAGUGACACAUAAAAUUACAGUAUGAUGAUGUUUGUGGUGUUGUGCAAGUUCCAUACAAAAGCCAUACUUGUGUAAAUGGUUAGUGGAUUUCCAUUAUUGGUCUCUAAAGCCUUGGUAUUAAGAUAUCAUCUGGGCCUAUGAUGCCAUAAAACUUAAGAAUCAAGUCUUGGAAUACAUGGUAGCAUAUCAGAGAGUCACGUCAGAGAGGCACGAAACUAGUAAAAGAAAAGUAUAUCAGUAGGCAAUGAAUCCAAUCUGGACACAAAAUGUACAUCAAAUUCUGCAUGACAUUGAAAUAGAGGUGCAAUGUUAAACAGUUGCGGUACUGUCUAGACUUGUAAAGAGUAAAAGAAUGUCUUUCAUGUGUGGAAAACAUACAUCACAUGGUUGUGUUUUCAUGUCUAUACAAUAUUUGGCUGUUAUUCCAUCUGUAAUAGAGAAACCUAAUAAUUUUAAUUGCCAAGAAGAAUGUAGGAGUUACAUGGGGAUAUUUGUAAUUCUAGGUUAUGUAGUAGUUAGUGGUUAGUAAAACUACAGAGAUUAUGCUGUGUCACUGAGAUUAUGCUGUGUCACUGAGCAUUGAGUAAAACCUCAAUAAUACUCGCUGCUAAUUUGAUUGGUUGUGUUAUUUGGAUUUGAUUGUUGUAGUGGUAGUAAAUUAGAGGGAGUGCAUGCAAACAAUAUAAGUGGUAAAUACAAGGAUGCUGAGUUGGAUGUGGGGCAAAAUUAAGAGGGAUGAAGCUAGAAAUCAUUGCAUCAGAUAGCUUGCUAGCUGCCUACUAGAAGAGAGAUAUAAUGAGAUCAUUUUCCUUGUUUGGCAAAGGGAGAAAACUAUAGCAGAGUUCCCCUUUUAUUUUGUUCUUUUUUUUUUUUCGCCCCUUUUGGGAGGGUGUCCACUAAGUUUAUAAAAUCCUAAAUAUGCAAGGG
rnacentral:lncRNA from 1 species